rnacentral:lncRNA from 1 species
GAGCUGGUAAGGAAUGUAAGGGGACCAGCCACCUCUGAGGAGCAGCGGGGUCCCUCCUCACAGGGUGCUGGCUCCGCAAGCGUCCGCCGUUCUUCUCCGAGCCCUGCGCGUUGGAAGACUCGCCCUGCUGUGCGCCCGGGUUUUGCAAUCCAGCCCUGGCGCUCGCUCGUGCUCAGCUGGGUCUGUGUCUGCCCCAGCUCAGUCCCCACUAGUUUCUGGGCAUGGGAGAAGACACCUCCCAGAGGGUAUGAGGACUGUCUUUACUCAGAGGAGACACACCCUUCCUCGGGCCCAGCACCAUCUAGUAAGAAGGAGGAGGAUAUCUGAAAGGCGUGUCUGGCAUGAUGGGCUGGUGCAGCCAGGACAGCUCUUUCCUGAAGCUUUCUGUUCUGCUGUCCUCACAAACCAAGAUGGUCAGGAUCGGCACUCUCUCAGCCCCCACCAGACCACCAGCUGGGCUCCCUCCUACAAGAGGGGCAGCAACACUCAGGGAAGAGCUGCCCAUCUGAUGCCUGAUGAGCACAGGACCCUGGAGUCCGACCAUCAGCUCCCUGACUCCGGUGAAUUAUUACAUAUACAACAGCACAAGUGGUGCACAGAUUGGCAAAAAUCAGGAAGAUCAGUACUCAAAUGACCGACUUGGAGAAACGACACUGCAAAUGAACUAACUCUUCCUGAAGAGACCAAGUCUUCACACCUGGUCUCCAAAGUUGCUGAGAAAUGCUUCUCAGCAGCAUUUUCUCGGGUUGGGAAUGGACCAAGUGGCCUUCUGGUC